rnacentral:hammerhead_ribozyme from 1 species
AUUCAGCUGAUGGGCCUAUAAUAGGACGAAACAAGUGUCCUGAAU